GCUUCCAUGGUGUAGCUGGUUAUCACGUGGGUCUCAUAGUUUCUGCUAUGACCGUCUCUCAGAGAUUGGUGAUCCCAAGGUCGCCAGUUCGAACCUGGCUGGGAGCA